UACAGAGGGUGCAAGCGUUGUUCGGAAUUAUUGGGCGUAAAGGGCGCGUAGGCGGUGCGGUAAGUCUGUAGUGAAAGCCCCGGGCUCAACCUGGGAAUUGCAUUUGAGACUGCUCUGCUCGGGUGCGGAAGAGGGAAGCGGAAUUUCCGGUGUAGCGGUGAAAUGCGUAGAUAUCGGAAGGAACACCAGUGGCGAAAGCGGCUUCCUGGUCCGACACCGACGUUCAGGCACGAAAGCGUGGGGAGCAAACAGG
rnacentral:rRNA from 1 species